UCAGGUACCAUGCAUUUCACGGUGGCCUUGUGGAGACAACGCCUUAACCCAAGGAAGUGACUCAAACUGUGAGAACUUCAGGGUCUUCCUCUGUUGCCCAGGCUGGAGUACAGUGGUGUGAUCAUAGCUCACUGCAGACUUGACCUCCUGGUUGGGGAGUGGUGGUGUGCACCAGUGGUCCCAGCUACUCAGGAGGCUGAAGCAGAAGGACCCCCCCAGCCCGGGAGGCGCUCCAGAACACCCCAGCUUGGGUGACAGAGUUUUCCAACCUAUUGGUGGUAUGUCUGACAGUGGAUCACAACUUGGUUCAAUGGGUAGCCUCACCAUGAAAUCACAGCUUCAGAUCACUGUCAUCUCAGCAAAACUUAAGGAAAAUAAGAAGAAUUGGUUUGGACCAAGUCCUUACGUAGAGGUCACAGUAGAUGGACAGUCAAAGAAGACAGAAAAAUGCAACAACACAAACAGUCCCAAGUGGAAGCAACCCCUUACAUAUCGUUACCCCUGUGAGUAAAUUACAUUUUCGUGUGUGGAGUCACCAGACACUGAAAUCUGAUGUUUUGUUGGGAACUGCUGCAUUAGAUAUUUAUGAAACAUUAAAGUCAAACAAUAUGAAACUUGAAGAAGUAGUUGUGACUUUGCAGCUUGGAGGUGACAAAGAGCCAACAGAGACAAUAGGAGACUUGUCAAUUUGUCUUGAUGGGCUACAGUUAGAGUCUGAAGUUGUUACCAAUGGUGAAACUACAUGUUCAGAAAGUGCUUCUCAGAAUGAUGAUGGCUCCAGAUCCAAGGAUGAAACAAGAGUGAGCACAAAUGGAUCAGAUGACCCUGAAGAUGCAGGAGCUGGUGAAAAUAGGAGAGUCAGUGGGAAUAAUUCUCCAUCACUCUCAAAUGGUGGUUUUAAA
rnacentral:lncRNA from 1 species